AGAAGGGCGCAGGCGCAACGGGCGGCGGAAGUAGGAGCCUGGGAAGGAAGAGGGAACGGGUCCUGGCGGUGCUUUGCAAAGGGCCCGCGUUUCUGUUGCGGGAAGCUCCCGGAGGUCGCACGUGCGUCCGAGCCCAAGCCCCUCCCCUCCACUCCCCUUCCUGCGUGCCCCGGAGCCGCCAAGCGGCUACGUUCUUCUCGGCCCGCCGAGAUGGCGCUCGACCCCGCAGACCAGCAUCUCAGACAUGUCGAAAAAGAUGUUUUGAUCCCUAAAAUAAUGAGAGAAAAGGCCAGAGAGAGGUGUUCUGAACAAGUUCAAGAUUUUACCAAAUGUUGCAAGAACUCUGGAGUUCUUAUGGUAGUAAAAUGCCGGAAAGAAAAUUCUGCAUUGAAAGAAUGUCUAACUGCUUAGUAAGUAGUUGUCUCAGCGUUUGUGCUUGUAUGUGUAUUUGUGGUAGAUAAGAGUAUGUUACUUAACUCAUUACAUGUAAUAUAUUCUGUACCUCUCCAUACCAAAUUUAUCAUAUUGUUGGCUGAGUCUAAAGUUCCAGUAUAGUCUUAAAAAUGCAACAUAUUUAUGAAAGAGUCUUUUCAAAUUUUCUCAGCAUUGUAUCUGAUUAAAAAGAUGAAGUCAGCAGACAAAAAUAUAUGAUUUUUCACUAUUUAAUAAAUCUUUUUUCAUGAACAGUUUGAUCUGUAAAAUAUAGUACAGACUGAUUUUUGUUUAUUCUGUUGUAAAGAUAACUGAAUGAAAAUAUCUCUGAGACUUCCUCCAGCCUUGUGAUUUGUUGGAUUAAUAUAAUUUAACUCCUAGAAAGUUGAGAUAAAUCAUAUGGAUGAUAAAAAGGUAAAUUUAGAUUUUUGAAGUUAACCAAAUUUACUUUUAAAAUAAUUUUAUAAUAUCAUGUUCACUAAUAUUUUGUUGUAGUUCCUUAAAUUUAAGUAAAAAUGUGUGAAGUUCUUUGAAUUCACAUGCUGAUUUAUUCACCCAUGUUCUAUUGCCCACAUUAUUGACAGAUAAGAUUUCAGAAUACUUUAGUAAGUAUUGUUAAUUGAAUGUUGAGAGAUCUUAGUUUUGGUAAGCCUUUGUUUCCUUUAAUUUCUGUAGCCUGUGCAGCGUAUAUGUCAGUAUGGUAUGUAUGUUAGAGGAUUAAAUAAAAAUGUAAUGAACACCCGAACCCUACAUUUUUUUUUAAUAAAAUAUGUACACAUAAACUUAUAGACCUUUUUUUAGAAUGGUGGAGUUGGAAAAGACUUUAGAGAUUAUGUAAACUCAUCUCUAUAUUUGCUAUAUUUGUAAAUGGUGAAACAUAAUCAAUAUUGAUUUUUUUUCUUAAGUUAAUAAUAUCAAAGCAGCCCUUAUUUAUGGUCCAGGUAUUGUACUCAGUGCUUUACCAUAUAGGAGUAAAAGUUCAUUCUGUGACUUAAUAUUCUUUCAGUUCUAUUCUCGAGUGCUUCCAAGAAAUGUUUACUGAGUAAACGAAUCUCUUAAACUUUUGUAUGACUGAAUUAUUAAGUUCUGUCUUAUACAUUGAUUAAAUAAUUUUUAUAUCUCAGAUUCAGUCAUCAUAAUUGUUAUUGCUAGUUUGACAUAUUAUCCUUCACUCCAGUUGGGGGAGCUCUAGAGCAGAGCAGACAGGAGUAUAGACUGCAGAGAGGGCAACCUGGGUUCAGCUUCUGUAUCAGUGAGAGCUUAGCUAGUCGUGUUACCUUAGGCAGGCUCCUCAUUGUAAGGAGGAAUAAUUAUAUCUUAUGGAGUGAUUGUGAGGUACUGCAUGUAAACACAUUUACCAUGAUAGGUAUUCAGAAAAUGUUAGCUCUUUUUUGAUUAGUAUUUGUUAUUAUUUAUCUGAAUAUUAAUCAUUUGAAUAUCCUUCUCUCUCUCACCCCCUAGAAAUACAAGAAGAAAAUAACAGAUUCUAGUCCAUCUGAGGGGAGGAGAGGGGCUAGGAAGGAUGGCUGUUUCUGCUUGUUUAGAAGAGAUAAGCAGUGGAUGUGACAUUAACUGAAAGUAAAUGGAAAAUUAUUAGGGAAAAUUGUACUUGACUUUGAGUCCCCAGAUACACUAAGAAAUAGUAUUUAUUCAUCUUUAAAUAAGAAGGUGUUCUGCUUUGUUAAUUACUAUUGACAUUUCCAUGAAAUGAACGUAACUGCUAUCCUCUCUCAUUUUGAAACAUUGUUUUUGCUCCUUUAUUUCUACCUCUUACUUUCAUUUUUUUCCUUAAUACACUAUGAUCUGAUUUCUGUCCUCACAUCACUGAACCUGCUCUUUUUAAAGACUCUAAUGGGCUGAUGGUAGACAAAUCCAACAAAUUGUUCCUUUUCUUUUACUUGACCUGUCUCUGGCAAUCCCUUCUUAAAAGUCUCCUCUGUCUUCCCUGAUAAUAUUUUUUCCCAUUUUCCCAAAAUCUCUUUGUACUUCUCAAUGUUUUUAAUCUACUCCUUAAUGUUGGUGAUUCCCCAAGUUCUCUUCUCAUUCUUAAAUCUGAGGAAGUUUAGUUUGCACCCAUGAAUUCAAUUACUUACUAUAGAAAGUAACAUUUGUUUCUUUGUUCAAGUCCAAAAAUGAACUGGGCUCCUUUUGCUCGUCCUAUAACGUGUCUUUGUGAAUUAUACAGUAGUCUAGUAUCUACAGUCUUGUCUCCUAACUCUAAUUGGUUAUUUCCUAUUGAUUUCCGAAAUUUCCCGCACAUCAUCUCUUCCUUUUCAUUCCUACAGCUCCUCCUUUGACCUGCGCCUUCCAUCAUUUUUGCCUGGAUUAUUUUAACAGUUUAUUGGCUAUCUUGCCUCUAACCUUGCUUGCCUCCUUUUGUCCUAUCUGCCACAUGUUGUCAGAUUCAUCCAAGACACAAAACUGAUCUUACAGGUGAGGUGCUCUAUUAAUUGUGCCCCAUUUUCUUCAGGAUUGAUUUUAAUUUCUGAGUAUAGCGUAAAUGGCACAUCAUGAUUUGACUUUUGCCCAUUCCAUCUUCAUUUCAGGCCUUUUCUCCUAUGUGCAUAAUCUGCUAUAGUGGUACCUAUCUACUUGGCAGGUUUUCCUGCAUUAAUUUUUCCUCAUCCAUGUGUCUUCCCACACUUGCCUUCUAUAUGGAUUUCUGUUGGUCUUUCAAAAUACAACUCAAGCAUUUCCCCUUGAAACCUCUGCCCUCCCCAUUUCUUCCUUGUUUCCAUGGUGCACUGGGCCAUACCUCUGUCACAGUAUUUUGUAGAUUUAAUUUUAAUCCAGUCUUUACUUGUCCUUUACACCGUGGGUUCCCAGGACAGGAGCUGUGCUUCUCAUUGCUCUAUUCUGUGACAGUGCUAUAUAAAAAUGAAUGAUUUGGUCUUUAGUUUGGUAGCAUAAAGUUAACAGUGAAUUUGUAACCAUUACUAAAAGUGUACUUCUAAAGAUUGAGCCUGAUGAACCAGAUGUCUGAAUAUUAGUAAUUAAAGUAAGCUUACAUUUAACACAUGCAGGAUUAUUUACUUGAAAAUAUUUUCAUUUCCGUCUCAUAGCUAUAAUGAUCCAGCCUUUUAUGAAGAAUGCAAAAUGGAAUACCUGAAGGAAAGGGAAGAAUUCAGAAAAACUGGAAUUCCUACAAAGAAAAGGCUACAGAAGCUUCCAACAAGCAUGUAGGCAGAUACUCAAAUGACAUUCAGGAACUCUAAUAUUCAUGGAAGUCAUUUUAUAGUCCUUAAAUAAUGGACUCAAGCAUAUAUGUUUGCUUUACCUUAAUUAUGGAAAUAUUAACUUUAUCUGAAAUAAAUAU
rnacentral:sRNA from 1 species